ACGGGUCCUCACAUACUCCCUCCGUUGAAGCCCUGACGUCCUUGGCAGGCUAAGGGGUUCAAAUUCAUUCAAAUCUAAUCACAAACACCACGAUCGGCUCAUGGUUAGCCCCAAUGGAUCCAUGCUGCAGUGUCCCCUAGUCCAUAUAGAUUAUGGGCCGGAUCCGCUCUGAUACCAUUUGUAACAACCCAGGACCUUACCCAAAAUAGUUAUCCGGAAGGUAUUAUUUGGGUUUCUUGAUCCUGUAUAAGUACCCAAGAUCUACCUAGCAAAUAACCGAUGUGGGACUAAACACACGCCCGCACGGAUCCUCACACGCUGCAUAUUUAAUUGUUUUCAUACUGAAGGAACACAUUGUUUUAAACUCACAUCUCUUAUGGUCAUCUGCUAAUGGGCUUAUCUAUGUGCGAAGUGGUAUAUAUUGUUGCUCCUUGCUUGCAGAGAAACUCAUAUUGGUCAACACUUGAAAACAUGUGCUGCCUGCUUCCAGUUCUGUGAAUCAGCAAGGC
rnacentral:lncRNA from 1 species